rnacentral:rRNA from 1 species
CUACGGGGGGCAGCAGUGAGGAAUUUUGCGCAAUGGGGGAAACCCUGACGCAGCAACGCCGCGUGAGUGAUGAAGGCCUUCGGGUCGUAAAGCUCUGUCAAGUGGGAAGAACCUGAUCCAUACUAAUAUCGUGGAUCACUGACGGUACCACUGAAGGAAGCACCGGCUAACUCCGUGCCAGCAGCCGCGGUAAUACGGAGGGUGUCAAGCGUUAUUCGGAAUCACUGGGCGUAAAGGGCGCGCAGGCGGUUUGGUAAGUCAGAUGUGAAAGCCCGGGGCUCAACCCCGGAAGUGCAUUUGAUACUGCCAAACUUGAGUAUGGGAGAGGGAAGUGGAAUUCCUGGUGUAGAGGUGAAAUUCGUAGAUAUCAGGAGGAACACCGGUGGCGAAGGCGACUUCCUGGACCAAUACUGACGCUGAGGCGCGAAGGCGUGGGGAGCAAACAGGAUUAGAUACCCGCGUAGUC